ensembl:sense_intronic Gm16155 predicted gene 16155
GUUUUCCUGUUCCUGGUUUUACUCUGGAAGCCACACACAACACGCAUAUUCAUUACAGGAUCAUUAUAGGCAAAGCCAGGAAAUAGAGUUCCUAGGCUGAUGUGUUUUGAGGAAGACCCACGGGGAGUCUCAGCCCCCCACCCCCAUCCCCACUCCCACCCCGUCUAUAGUUCAGAAUCUAAAUAUAGAUCCCGACCAGGAGAGCAGUUCUCAAAAAGAAUUUUCCCGAGUUGCUCUGAUGUCUAAAAAGAAGACAAACUUCCAGUGAGGGCCAACCCCCCGUCUCACAUCAGCCUAUUGCCUGGUGCCUCUAAAAAGGCAAAAUCCUCCAAGCAAGAU